rnacentral:rRNA from 1 species
ACGGCUCAGUAACACGUAGUCAACCUGCCCUAGAGACAUGGACAACCCCGGGAAACUGGGAUUAAUCCGUGAUCGGUCAUCUCAUCUGGAAGGAGAGAUGGCUUAAAGGGAUGCGAGAGCUUCUUUCUUGUAUUUGCUCUAGGAUGGGACUGCGGUCGAUCAGGCUGUUGGUGGGGUAAUGGCCCACCAAACCUGUAACCGAUACGGGCCUUGAGAGAGGGGGCCCGGAGAUGGACACUGAGAGAAGGGUCCAGGUCCUACGGGGCGCAGCAGGCGCGAAACCUUCGCAAUGCGCGAAAGCGUGACGAGGUUAAUCCGAGUGGUCCCCGCUGAGGGGAUCUUUUGUCGGCUGUAAAAAGGCCGGUGAAUAAGGGGAGGGCAAGUCUGGUGUCAGCCGCCGCGGUAAUACCAGCUCCUCGAGUGGUCGGGGCGAUUAUUGGGCCUAAAGCAUCCGUAGCCUGUUCUGUAGGUCCUCUGUUAAAUCCAACGGCUUAACCGUUGGUCAGCAGCGGAUACCGCAGGACUAGGAGGCGGGAGAGGUGGACGGUACUCCACGUGUAGGGGUAAAAUCCUUUGAUCCGUGGAAGACCACCAGUGGCGAAGGCGGUCCACCAGAACGCGCUCGACGGUGAGGGAUGAAAGCUGGGGGAGCGAACCGGAUUAGAUACCCGGGUAGUCCCAGCCGUAAACGAUGCGAGCUAGAUGAUCCGGUCGCAAAUCGCGAUCGGAGUGUCGCAGGGAAGCCGUUAAGCUCGCCGCCUGGGGAGUACGGUCGCAAGACUGAAACUUAAAGGAAUUGGCGGGGGAG